GCAUCUCAAAUUGGUGAUCAUAUAUGUCCAAAAAACAACGUAAUUUGUGAACAUGUAUGACCCCACAAUAAAAGUAACUUUUGAAAGUUGUGGAGAAUUAUUCAGAAGACUCGUAAAUUGGAUUAAGGUCAAAAUAAAUUAAUCAAAAGAAAUGGGAGCAUCUUAUCUUUGAUUAAAGAUAAACUUACAGUAUUAAAUUUAAACCAGUGUUGUAGGAUAUUGUAGGAUUCCCUUUAGAAAAGAAAGGAUACUUUACCAUCCAUUAUUGUUCAAAGCAACACUUUACCAAUAUUAUUCAACAAUUUUCAUAUCCAACACUCGUUCAUCAGCUAGGUCGCGUGGACUAUCUUUGAUUGCUUUAUGAUCCAAUUGAGUGAAUUCAUUUGCAGGCAAGCAGCAGCUCUCCCCGUUUCAGUAUAUAAUUGCGUAUGCACUUAAUUUCCCUUUUUUAUUUUUCUUUUUCUUGAUUUUCAGUCUCCUUGCUGUUGAUUUGUUGUUUGUUUGAAACCCCCCCCCCCCCCCCCCAAAAAAAAAAAAAAAAAAAAAAAAGAAGGGAGCACUUUUGCACAUAGAUCUGUUUUAGUUUUGCUAAAGAAUAUUUAAAAAAAAAAAAAAAAGAAAAAAAAAGAAGGUUGUUGUGGAAUCCAUAGUUUAUACCUGUUAUUUCAGCUUCCUCUGUUAAUCAGUAUCCAUGACGGAGCCUUUCUCUGCUGGUGAUAUUGAUUCUCAUUUAUUUUUCCAUAUUUUCAUCUACGCUAUGUAUUGAUCAGCAUCAUUUCAUUUCGUUUGCUGUCAUAUUGUAUUGUCCUUUUUAUUUGUUUAUGUGAAAUUGAAAAAAAAAAAAGUAAAAAAAGAAGCGAAUACAGAGAGACAUAGAGAGCUACAGUACCUAACAGGGAGGCAGGGCUUUGGAAUUAAAAAUGGAUGUUGUGAUUGCACCAAUUGUUGAGAAAAUUGUUGAAUACACAGUCGCACCGAUUGGUCGACAAAUUGGCUAUGUUUUUUCGUAUGGAAGCAAUAUGGAAAACCUCGACUCCAAAAUUGAUGAGUUGGAAUAUAAGAAAGACCGGCUUCAACAAUCUGUUGAUGAGGCCAAAAACAAUGGUCAUGAAAUCUAUCCGGCUGUUCAAGAGUGGCUUGACAGUGUCACUAAGGAGGCUAGAAAUUUUCGAAGAGACGAAUGCCGAGCAAAUACGAGGUGUUUAAAUGUUUCAUUUCCAAACCCGGUGUGGCGACAUCGGCUGAGCAGAAAAGCAAAGAAGACGGUACAGAGCAUUACCAGUAAAAUUGAAGUUGCAGACAGGUUUGAUCAGGUUUCUUACCUGCCCACUCGUCAAAGUUCAAUCAGAAACAAAGGUUACGAGGAAUUUGGAUCGAGAAUGUCAACUUUGACGAAGGUGAUGGAGGCACUGAGAGAUCCCAAUGUCAAUAUGAUUGGAUUGUAUGGGAUGGGAGGCGUCGGUAAAACCAUGCUGGCUAAAGAAGUUGCUAGACAAGCAGUGGAAGAAAAGCUUUUCACUCAAGCUAUUGUGGUUACUGUAUCCCAAAACCCAAAGUAUGAAGAUAUUCAACAACAAAUUGCAGAGAAGCUUCGUCUACAACUCGACGAGAAAAGCUUAACUGCCAGAGCAGAUCGACUACGAAGUCGAUUGAGGCAAGAAAAGAUGAUACUCAUAAUUGUAGAUGAUGUGUGGAAGAGGAUCGACUUGGAUGAAGAUGUUGGUAUAUCAUUUGGGGGUGAUCAGAAGCAAUGCAAGAUACUAUUGACAUCCAGGUUUUAUAAUGCGUUAAAGAAUGAUGUGAGAAAUGAAAAUACUUUUGAGGUUGGAAAAUUAUCUGAAAGUGAAUCCAUGGAUUUAUUUAAUAAAACAGCAACAGACGAUUCAGAUGGAAAGCCCGAGUUUCCAGAUUUGGCAACUCAGAUUGUUAAAGAAUGUGCUGGCUUACCGCUUGCGAUAACAGUAGUAGCAAGUGCAUUGAAGAAGGAACCUAAUUGCCACGUUUGGAAGAAUGCUUUGGAUGAGUUAAGAAGGGCAAGGCCAGAUAACAUCGAAGGAAUGCAUGACAAAGUGUACUCCAGUGUCAAGUUAAGUUACAAUUUUCUGCCAAGUGAAGAAGCAAAGUCAUUGUUGUUGCUCUGUAGUUUAUUUCCAGAAGAUGAAAACAUCGACACUGGUGAUUUGUUGAAAUAUGCUUUUGGUUUGGACUUGCUUCAAGGCCCUUUUCCUGAGAUGGAAACGGCAAAAAGUAAGAUGAAUACGCUUGUUGAAAAUCUUAAACGUUCUAGUCUUCUGUUGGAUGGUUAUUACAAGGACAGGGUAAAAUUGCAUGAUGUGAUCCGUGAUGUUGCUAUAGAUAUUGCAUCCAAAGAGAGGCGUUGGUAUAAUAUCAGAAAUCUUCAUGAGUUGGAUGAAUACAUGAGGAGGGACCACAAAAAAUUCAAAGAUGCCAUUGCAAUUUCACUCCUUAGCUGCCCAGAUGUCGUUGAACAGCUUCCAGAAUGUCCACAGCUUAAGUUAUUAUUGAUUGCCGGGCACCGCCGUGGAUCGUCUGAUUGUCAAAUUGCAGAUCGAUUUUUGGAAGGAUUGAAAGAGCUUAGAGUUUUAUAUUUGGGUUCUGUGACUUUGGAUCCACUGCCUUCAUCCUUUCGUUUUCUUCAGAAUCUUCGAACAUUGCGUUUGGAGGGAUGCAGAUUGGGCAACAUAGCUCUAAUUGGAGAGCUCAAAAAUUUAGAAAUUCUUGACCUUUCAAGAUCUACAGUUGUGGAGUUGGGAAGUGAAAUCGGACAACUGACUCGACUGCGGGUGUUGGAUUUAAGAAAAUGUGAGAAACUUAAAGUUAUUCAACCAAAUGUCCUGGGGAGUUUGCGAAAUCUAGAAUGGCUGAAUUUAUAUCCCAGCUUUACAAACUGGGAGGUUGAAGGAGUAAAUGGCCAUGAAAGAAGAAAUGCCAGUCUCGGUGAGCUAAAAAAUCUACCUCAACUUAGCUCUUUGUUAGAUCUAACAAUUCCCGAUGUUAAUGUUCUACCAAAAGACAUCUUUGGGGAAAAGCUGGAAAGCUAUUCCAUAAAAUUGGGAAAGAGUUUUACAGAUUAUGAUUACGAAGAAGAAGAAGAUGGAAGUUAUUAUUACAGAAAAUUGUCGGUGGAGCUGGAAAGAAGCAGUCAAUUAGAUGAGCUUGGGCUUGGAAAUUUGUUAAGAAGGUCUGAUGCGAUAGAAUUAAAUGGAUUAGAGGGUAUGAAUAGUGUUGCUUAUGAAUUAGAUAAAGAGGGUUUUCCACAUUGUAAGCGUCUUCUAGUUGCAAAUAACGCUGGAAUUCUGUACAUCGUUAACCCGGUUGGACAAACUGCCUUUCUGAAUUUGAAGAUUUUGAGACUUGAAAGAUUGGUUAAGUUGGGAAAGAUCUGCCGUGGAAGACUCGCACCGGACUCUUUUGUCAAUUUGAGGCGACUUGGUGUAUUUGAAUGUCAUAGAUUGAAGAAUAUCUUCUGUUUCUCUAUCGCCAAACUGCUUGAGGAAAUUGAAGUGGAGGAUUGCGAGAUGAUAGAGGAGAUAGUUGACAACGAUGAAGCCAUUAAUGUUAGGAUUGAGUUUCCUCGUCUGCGCUUAUUACGGUUGGAAAAAUUACCGCAGCUUCUACAGUAUUGCACUGAUCGUCAACCGAAGAGUACAACUAAUACCAGCUCCAUUCCUCUUUUUAAUGAAAAGGUUGAGUUUUCCAACUUAGAGCGGCUGAGAUUGUUCCACCUCAAUAUCGGAAAGGUAUGGAGUGAUCAACUUCAAUAUUAUCAGAAAACAUUUGUUGACCAAGGAGCAUUAGGUAAUUUAAAAAACAUUGAAGUGUCUGGGUGUGAUAAUUUGAAGGCUUUAAUACCAUUAUCUUUGGCUACAAGUCUUGUGCAUCUCGAAGACCUAAAAGUUGAAAGUUGUAAGGUCAUGGAAGAGAUAGUUUACAGUACAGAAGAUUCAGGGGAAGAAAUUAGGCUGGACAAUAUUUUGUUCCCUAAACUUCGAAGUCUUUCUCUAAGAUCGAUUCCAAAGCUUGGAACAAUCAUCAGGGACUCCAAGUCAACACUCAUUGACAAUGAAGCUGAAGGAAUUGACUCGGUGGCAUAUAAACAACCUCUUUUCAAUUCUAAGGAAUUGUAUUUGCGAUCACUUGAUAGUUUGCAAAUGAUAUGGGACACGCAACUUCUUGAAAAGUUCGAUAAUAAUUUAACAAAAGUGACUGUGAAUAAGUGUGAUAAUUUGAAAAGUCUAAUACCUUCGUCUUUGUGUGGAAGUCUCGUGCAUUUAGAAUGGCUGGGGAUAAGUAGAUGUGAAAACAUAAGAGAGGUAGUUUCCAUAGAAGAAUCAGCAGGACAAGAAAAGUUGGGAAAGAUUUUUUUCCCUCAACUUAGAUAUCUAUAUGACCUUCCAAAACUUAAGAGGUUUUGUGCCGGAGAUUGUAUUGAAUGUCCAUCAUUAGAAAUAUUAGCUAUAAAAAAUUGUGGAAAAAUGGAGACUUUCAUCAGCGACUCUCUUCCAAGUCACAUUGACAAUGAAAAUGAAGAAAUAGAAUCAGUCAAUAAAACACCUUUCUUCGUCAAAGAUAAGGUUAAAUUCCCAAACUUAGAAGAACUGACGAUUCGAAGGAAUGAAAUCAUUAGUGAGAUAUGGCAUGGUGAUCAGUCUUCAACAUUACCUUUUCCGAAGCUAAAGAGUAUAAAGUUGGAUUGCAACCUCUCUGAAUCAUGUAAAUUUUCAUUCAAAUUCUUUCAAAGACUUGAACAUCUUGACCAUGUUGGUAUUAGCAGUCUACUCAUGGAAUCACUUAUUAGUUCUAAUGAAGCACAUGAUAUACCCAUGCCUUUAAGAAAAUUGGAUUUGGAUGCACUUCCAAAGUUGGUGCAUCUCUGUGAUGAAGGUGUCCAAACAUGCAAAACCUUUCGGGUUGUGGAAGUUCUGAACGUAUCGAGGUGUGAGAGAUUAAAGAGUCUAAUGACUUCUUCAAUGUGUUUCCAGAAUUUGACAACUUUGAGUGUAUCAGAUUGCGAUGCAUUGGAAAGUUUAAUGGCUUCGGCAGCAGCGGCUAAAAGUCUGCAAAAACUUACAAAACUGAUAGUACGAAAUUUCAAAAGAAUGACACAAAUAAUUGGGAAUAAUCAUGAAGCAGAAUGUGAUGUCGAAACAGAGCAAAACGAGAUUGGGUUUAGCAACCUGCAGAUUUUACGACUUCAUGACUUGUGCAGCCUCGGAAAGUUCUACUCUGGAAAUAACAUAAUAAGACUUCCGAAUUUGGAAGAAUUAAUUGUGAAUAAAUGCCCUGAGAUGGGGACGUUUUCUCACGGUACUGUAUACACCCCAAGGCUGUAUAGAAUAACGAUUAAAUUAAAAGAUGAUUGGCUUAUUGAUUUUCUGGAAUAUGCAAGUGAUGAUGACGUGGAAUACCAGAGGCUUUUGGAGGGUGAUGUUAAUACAACUCUAAAAAAGCUUUGGGAGGACCAUCAAACUGCUGCUACCUCAUCACAACCCAACAUUACAUGAUAUAUAUAUUCAGAAUUAUCAGAAUCAGAAACAUCCAACAAGGAAAAAUCUUUCAUGCACUCAAACAUCUUCUUGUGGUGGCAAUGCUCUUUGGCUGGAGAUAUUGAAGUGAGCACAGUAACACUUCAAAGGGGUGCAAGAUUGGCUGUCACAGGGAGGCUGAGCUUGUUUGCUGGGUGGUAGCUUAUGGUUGUAAUUAAAGAGGAUGACCCAGAUCUCAAUUUGCUUUUAUUAGAUUUGAAGCCGGAAAUAAAGCUGAUUAAUCUAUGUGAAGUUGUACUUUUGAAGAUGACAUUUUAGUGUAAAACCCUGUUUAAUGUUGAUACAGGCUCAGAAUACUCACUCUAGACAUCAUGGUCAACAAUUCUGAUAUGGUUGAUCUUCUUUAUUAAUUUGUACUUCUUUAUUA